rnacentral:rRNA from 1 species
AUGCUUAACACAUGCAAGUCGAACGGGGUGCUUAGGCAUCUAGUGGCGGACGGGUGAGUAACGCGUGAGAAUCUGGCUCCAGGUCGGGGAUAACAGUUGGAAACGACUGCUAAUACCGGAUGUGCCGAGAGGUGAAAGAUUUAUUGCCUGGAGAUGAGCUCGCGUCUGAUUAGCUAGUUGGUGGUGUAAGGGACCACCAAGGCGUCGAUCAGUAGCUGGUCUGAGAGGAUGAUCAGCCACACUGGGACUGAGACACGGCCCAGACUCCUACGGGAGGCAGCAGUGGGGAAUUUUCCGCAAUGGGCGAAAGCCUGACGGAGCAAUACCGCGUGAGGGAGGAAGGCUCUUGGGUCGUAAACCUCUUUUCUCAAGGAAGAAGAAAGUGACGGUACUUGAGGAAUAAGCAUCGGCUAACUCCGUGCCAGCAGCCGCGGUAAUACGGAGGAUGCAAGCGUUAUCCGGAAUGAUUGGGCGUAAAGGGUCUGCAGGUGGAACUGAAAGUCUGCUGUUAAAGAGUUUGGCUUAACCAAAUAAAAGCGGUGGAAACUACAGAACUAGAGUGCGGUAGGGGCAAAAGGAAUUCCUGGUGUAGCGGUGAAAUGCGUAGAUAUCAGGAAGAACACCGGUGGCGAAAGCGUUUUGCUAGACCGUAACUGACACUGAGGGACGAAAGCUAGGGGAGCGAAUGGGAUUAGAUACCCCAGUAGUCCUAGCCGUAAACGAUGGAUACUAGGCGUGGCUUGUAUCGACCCGAGCCGUGCCGGAGCUAACGCGUUAAGUGUCCCGCCUGGGGAGUACGCACGCAAGUGUGAAACUCAAAGGAAUUGACGGGGGCCCGCACAAGCGGUGGAGUAUGUGGUUUAAUUCGAUGCAACGCGAAGAACCUUACCAAGGCUUGACAUCCUGCGAAUCCUGGUGAAAGCUGGGAGUGCCUUCGGGAGCGCAGAGACAGGUGGUGCAUGGCUGUCGUCAGCUCGUGUCGUGAGAUGUUGGGUUAAGUCCCGCAACGAGCGCAACCCUCGUUUUUAGUUGCCAGCAUUAAGUUGGGCACUCUAGAGAGACUGCCGGUGACAAACCGGAGGAAGGUGAGGAUGACGUCAAGUCAGCAUGCCCCUUACGUCUUGGGCUACACACGUACUACAAUGCUACGGACAGAGGGCAGCAAGCCAGGGAUGGCAAGCGAAUCCAGAAACCGUAGCUCAGUUCAGAUCGAAGGCUGCAACUCGCCUUCGUGAAGGAGGAAUCGCUAGUAAUUGCAGGUCAGCAUACUGCAGUGAAUUCGUUCCCGGGCCUUGUACACACCGCCCGUCACACCAUGGAAGUUGGUCACGCCCGAAGUCAUUACCCCAACCGAAAGGAGGGGGAUGCCUAAGGUAGGACU